rnacentral:rRNA from 1 species
GUGACUGCGUACCUUUUGUAUAAUGGGUCAGCGACUUAUAUUCUGUAGCAAGGUUAACCGUAUAGGGGAGCCGGAGGGAAACCGAGUCUUAACCGGGCGUUAAGUUGCAGGGUAUAGACCCGAAACCCGGUGAUCUAGCCAUGGGCAGGUUGAAGGUUGGGUAACACUAACUGGAGGACCGAACCGACUAAUGUUGAAAAAUUAGCGGAUGACCUGUGGCUGGGGGUGAAAGGCCAAUCAAACCGGGAGAUAGCUGGUUCUCCCCGAAAGCUAUUUAGGUAGCGCCUCGUGAAUUCAUCUCCGGGGGUAGAGCACUGUUUCGGCUAGGGGGCCAUCCCGGCUUACCAACCCGAUGCAAACUGCGAAUACCGGAGAAUGUUAUCACGGGAGACACACGGCGGGUGCUAACGUCCGUCGUGAAGAGGGAAACAACCCAGACCGCCAGCUAAGGUCCCAAAGUCAUGGUUAAGUGGGAAACGAUGUGGGAAGGCCCAGACAGCCAGGAUGUUGGCUUAGAAGCAGCCAUCAUUUAAAGAAAGCGUAAUAGCUCACUGGUCGAGUCGGCCUGCGCGGAAGAUGUAACGGGGCUAAACCAUGCACCGAAGCUGCGGCAGCGAACGUAUCACCCAAGACAACUUUACGGAGUUGACGAUUGACGGAGCGAAGCGACGUCAAAGCGUUCAUUAAAGUCGAGUUGGCUUAGGGAUACGUUCGUUGGGUAGGGGAGCGUUCUGUAAGCCUGUGAAGGUGUGUCGUGAGGCAUGCUGGAGGUAUCAGAAGUGCGAAUGCUGACAUAAGUAACGAUAAAGCGGGUGAAAAGCCCGCUCGCCGGAAGACCAAGGGUUCCUGUCCAACGUUAAUCGGGGCAGGGUGAGUCGACCCCUAAGGCGAGGCCGAAAGGCGUAGUCGAUGGGAAACGGGUUAAUAUUCCCGUACUUGGUGUUACUGCGAAGGGGGGACGGAGAAGGCUAUGUUGGCCGGGCGACGGUUGUCCCGGUUUAAGCGUGUAGGUGUGUGUUCCAGGUAAAUCCGGUUCACUUUAACACUGAGGCGUGACGACGAGGCACUACGGUGCUGAAGCAACAAAUGCCCUGCUUCCAGGAAAAGCCUCUAAGCAUCAGGUAACACGAAAUCGUACCCCAAACCGACACAGGUGGUCAGGUAGAGAAUACCAAGGCGCUUGAGAGAACUCGGGUGAAGGAACUAGGCAAAAUGGUGCCGUAACUUCGGGAGAAGGCACGCUGACACGUAGGUGAAGUGAUUUACUCAUGGAGCUGAAGUCAGUCGAAGAUACCAGCUGGCUGCAACUGUUUAUUAAAAACACAGCACUGUGCAAACACGAAAGUGGACGUAUACGGUGUGACGCCUGCCCGGUGCCGGAAGGUUAAUUGAUGGGGUCAGCGCAAGCGAAGCUCCUGAUCGAAGCCCCGGUAAACGGCGGCCGUAACUAUAACGGUCCUAAGGUAGCGAAAUUCCUUGUCGGGUAAGUUCCGACCUGCACGAAUGGCGUAAUGAUGGCCAGGCUGUCUCCACCCGAGACUCAGUGAAAUUGAACUCGCUGUGAAGAUGCAGUGUACCCGCGGCAAGACGGAAAGACCCCGUGAACCUUUACUAUAGCUUGACACUGAACAUUGAGCCUUGAUGUGUAGGAUAGGUGGGAGGCUUUGAAGUGUGGACGCCAGUCUGCAUGGAGCCGACCUUGAAAUACCACCCUUUAAUGUUUGAUGUUCUAACGUGGACCCGUAAUCCGGGUUGCGGACAGUGUCUGGUGGGUAGUUUGACUGGGGCGGUCUCCUCCUAAAGAGUAACGGAGGAGCACGAAGGUUGGCUAAUCCUGGUCGGACAUCAGGAGGUUAGUGCAAUGGCAUAAGCCAGCUUGACUGCGAGCGUGACGGCGCGAGCAGGUGCGAAAGCAGGUCAUAGUGAUCCGGUGGUUCUGAAUGGAAGGGCCAUCGCUCAACGGAUAAAAGGUACUCCGGGGAUAACAGGCUGAUACCGCCCAAGAGUUCAUAUCGACGGCGGUGUUUGGCACCUCGAUGUCGGCUCAUCACAUCCUGGGGCUGAAGUAGGUCCCAAGGGUAUGGCUGUUCGCCAUUUAAAGUGGUACGCGAGCUGGGUUUAGAACGUCGUGAGACAGUUCGGUCCCUAUCUGCCGUGGGCGCUGGAGAACUGAGGGGGGCUGCUCCUAGUACGAGAGGACCGGAGUGGACGCAUCACUGGUGUUCGGGUUGUCAUGCCAAUGGCACUGCCCGGUAGCUAAAUGCGGAAGAGAUAAGUGCUGAAAGCAUCUAAGCACGAAACUUGCCCCGAGAUGAGUUCUCCCUGAGACUU